CCCCCAAAAGUCUUAAUUAGUGGGUUGAUGGGCCUUUGACGCGUUGUACUGCUGGAGCUAACGCGUUAAGUCCACCGCCUGGGGAGUACGGCCGCAAGGUUAAAACUCCAAUGAAUUGGACGGGGGGCCGCACAAGCGGUGGAACAUGUGGUUUAAUUUCAUGCAACGCGAAGAACCUUACCUGGUCUUGACAUCCAUCUAAAUUUCCAGAGAUGGAUUGGUGUCUUCGGGAACUGUAGAGACAGGUGCUGCAUGGCUGUCGUCAGCUCGUGUUGUGAAAUGUUGGGUUAAGUCCCGCAACGAGCCGCAACCCUUAUCCUUUGUUGCCAUCGGUAAGGUCGGGAACUCAAAGGAAACUGCCAGUGAUAAACUGGAGGAAGGUGGGGAUGACGUCAAGUCAUCAUGGCCCCUUACGACCUAGGGCUACACACGUGCUACAAUGGACUAUACAAAGAGAAGCGACAUCGCGAGAUGAAGCUGACCUCAUAAAAUAUGUCUCAGUUCGGAUUGUAGUCUGCAACUCGACUCCAUGAAGUUGGAAUCGCUAGUAAUCGCAGAUCAGAAUGCUACGGUGAAUACGUUCCCGGGCCUUGUACACACCGCCCGUCACACCAUGAGAGUGGGUUGCACAAGAAGUCGGUGGGUUAACCUUCUUGAAGGCGCUUACC
rnacentral:rRNA from 1 species